rnacentral:rRNA from 1 species
AUGGCGGUGGCGUCAACUCUGCCUGGGCAGCUCACGGCGGUGACCGCUCUUCUUGCGCUGUCCGUGGCCAUCACGGUGUCGGCGGCCCCUGCGACUGCGAACCGGAGCAGGUGCUACAAACAUCUAUUCACCUUCGGUGACUCUCUGAUCGACACCGGCAACUUCAUCGUCCACAGCUCCACUGAUUCGGGGCCCGUCCUGGAGUUGCCAUACGGCGAGACCUUCUUCGGCCGCCCCUCCGGCCGCUGGUCCGACGGCCGCCUCGUCGUCGACUUUAUCGUGGAGAAGCUGGGGUUCCCGUACUGGCCGGCGUACCUGCAGGCGGCAGCCGGGAAGUCUCCGGCGGAGGAGUUCCGGUACGGCGCCAAUUUCGCGGUGGUGGCCGCCACGGCGCUGAGCCAGGAUUUCUUCAUGAAGAAGAAUCUCAGCGUUGACCAGUUUCCACCGAUCCUCCCCUACUCUCUCGACGUCCAGAUCGGCUGGUUCAAGAAAGUGCUCGCCGUGCUCGCCUCCACGGACCAAGAGAGGAAGGAGGUGAUGGAGAGCUCGCUGUUCCUGGUGGGGGAGAUCGGCGCCAACGACUACAACCAUCCCUUCUCGCGGAACAAGACGCUUGAAUGGGUCAGGCCCCUCGUGCCACAGGUCAUCAGCUCCAUCGCUCUGUCCAUCAAGGCCCUAAUCGAGCUGGGCGCCAAGACCAUGUUCGUGCCGGGCAUCUUCCCGCUGGGGUGCACCCCGCAGUACCUCGCACUCUUCCCCGGCGACGACCGCGACCCUGCCACGGGCUGCCUCUGGUGGCUCAACGACCUCAUCCUCCUCCACAACCACAUGCUGGAAGCAAGGCUCGAGGAGCUCCGCCGCGACCACCCCAGUGUGUCCAUCACCUAUGUCGACUCCUACGACAACGCCCUCGGCCUCGUCACCGCGCCUACACAAAACGGGUUCGACAAAGAAACGGUGCUGGAGGCAUGCUACCCCGUCUUGAGCACCGGGCCGUCGGGGAUGCCGUGCCCGGAGCCGUCAAGGUAUGUGUCGUUCGACGGCCUGCACAUGACGGAGGCGGCGUACAGGAUCAUGGCCCGCGGAAUGCUCGACGGCCCAUUCGCCGUGCCGCCCAUCAUGUCUACAUGCAACCACGGCUGCUAG